AACAUGAAAGGAGAAAAUAGUAUACAAGACAAACAUCAAGGGUUUUCAGCAUGCAAUACAGCAAAAGCUCAAUGUUCAAAAAACAGAAGUUGCAAAAUGCAUUAGUAACCACCUCUACUAAGCACCACCCAAAACUGAAGACACUGAAGUGGAGAAAUAAGAUCCUUUUAUCAAAACCUAUUGACCACCACUGAUAUCAGGAGAUCUGCACAACAGAAAUCCGACUUCUGAUGUUGGCAUGGUUUGAGGAUCAGCUAUGGCAGCUGAAGCUUAAAGAUGCAGUAGUAACUGAUGCUUGGAGAGCAUGCCUACAAGUCAGCCCAGAGCCCUUUCACUUGGUUUGGAAGUUCAGCAGGAGAAAGCAAGCAGCUAGAAGUUGCCCUGGUCUUUCUCAAUGGCCAGAAGGAAUCACAAAGAGAGAAAAGGCUGUCACCGAGUCAGCCUUCAGCCUCAGAAUGGAUGCCAUACCUCAACAGCAAGACAUAUGACAUGUCAGAGGUGGCUGCUAGUCUUCUAUAAGAUGUCAGAGCAACAAGCUUUUUCUCCAAGUACAACAAAAUAUCUGUCAUGGGAGUCUAUAUGACACCAGAUACAAGACCUGCAGUUUCGCUUGCCAGAUCACCUCUGAGCUCCCCUAGACAGAAGUGAGAGUCCAGAUUCCCUCAGGAUUAGCUCAACCACACAUCCUACAGCAUAAGUCAUCAUCAAAACCCCAGGGUAGCAGAAGUGAGCUUGUCAGUUCAUGGCUGUUGGAAACACUCCUUCCCUCUCCCAGUCUCACAGGACAUAUAUUUUUUGCCAAAUGAUGCAAGGCAGUAGAUGCCUCAUGAGGAAAAAGAAUCUAAUAAUUCCAAAUUACAAGAAUCAAAGCAAUCUAAAUUCUCCAUCUGUUGCCUAGUGUGGUUG
rnacentral:lncRNA from 1 species